CACCUCAUGGCAGAAAAGACAAUUCCAGACUGGACCUUCUCUGCGUGAUGCCUCUCCAGACGACAUUCAACUCUCUCCACAACAUUCAGUGCUCUCCUUGUGAAGGAACCAAAAGACAUGUUCCUACCAGGCAUCAGAAUCAGACCCGAACGGACGAUCAACGGGUUGUGCAUUUCGGGUCUAACGACACCCCCGACGACGUCACUCAACAGUACAGUCUCGACCCCAUAUUAAUCCAUCUCGGAUCCUUGCGGCAUUGGAAUUGCAAGGCUCCAAAAGCCACCCCCAUUUCACAUGCUUACAUGUCUCAAAAGCAGAACAUGCCACCACCUUUGAAAUAAGCUCGUUCAAGGCUCCCAAGUUGAGACCUAACAGCCGGCCGCCUUAUUGGAAAAUGGGGUCCAGAAGUUGGACGAACGCAUGAUGAUGGCUUGAACUGAAUCUGGCCGCUUUGAACCUGACCCGACCCGACUGGACCGAAACAAAUUCCCAACCCAGCCAUCCAAGCCACAUUCAGGCGACGACGACAGGUCAAAAGAUCUGGUCUAAUCGGAACCCAAAACCGAAUCGAAAAUGGGGGGAGAGGGCACGGUCAAGAUGAGGUGUGGUUUACAACAUGGACUGGACCCUGUUUGUAUCCGUUGCAUAAAACACCCGCUAGUUCAGGUACUCGUUCCUGGAUGUGUAGAAGACGGACGACCAACCUCAAAAAGCCCUCCAAGUCCGCCUCCAGAUUGCAAUGCGAAUGUACAGAUAUCUUGAAGCGGUCAAGACAAGAAAAUACCUCUACAUAGGACACAAGGCAGGAAGGCAGGAAGGGCUGUAAGGAUAUACCCCUAACUGUCCCGUCGUGCCCUCUUCCCAUCCCCCUCCCCGGUGUCCCUGUCUUGAACUUAAAUCAUUCGAUCGCCCGAAACAGACCAGCCGAUCCGAUGAACCUACAGCGAGGCCGGCAAUCAUCGGCAACUCAGCCCGCUUGUUUCAAGCACAGCGUGUUUCAGACAUACAUGUAAGGUACACUGGCAACUAGGUACCUUACCUGUAGGUAGGUAUCCUGCCCGUUUGCUAAUUCGACUCUGGGCGUUGUGUAAUGGAAGUUGGAAGGAAAGGGGAUUCGGGGGGACUACAUGUUAUGGGGAACUGGUCACGCCAGAAAACUGCAUUGUUCAAUGUGCUUGAGUCUCUCCGUCGUCAAUUUUGUUUUCUU